CGUCAUAAUACAUCACAGGACUGAAAUUUCUCUAAUGAAUCUAAGGCAUUGAGAUAUUUUUCUUUUUCCCCGUCUUCUCAGCUAUCAUCAUCUCCCAGUAACUCCAGGUUCCCAGAAGAAACAUACUUCCUGAUCCCCAUUGUAGUGUAGGGCCAUGUGAUAAGUUCUGUCCAAUUCAUUAUGAGCCAUCUGUUAUUGUCAGGCUGAGUAUUCAGUUGUUGCUGUGAGAGAACCACCAGAAUGCACCUUUCUUGCUGCUACAUUCAUAAGCAACAUUGCAGCUCUAUCUACCUCACUCAUGAGAUGAGGAUUAUGUGAAGAUGAGAGGAGAGCACCCUGAUGACCUGCAAUGGACAC